UGUUCUAACGUUGACCCGUAAUCCGGGUUGCGGACAGUGUCUGGUGGGUAGUUUGACUGGGGCGGUCUCCUCCUAAAGAGUAACGGAGGAGCACGAAGGUUGGCUAAUCCUGGUCGGACAUCAGGAGGUUAGUGCAAUGGCAUAAGCCAGCUUGACUGCGAGCGUGACGGCGCGAGCAGGUGCGAAAGCAGGUCAUAGUGAUCCGGUGGUUCUGAAUGGAAGGGCCAUCGCUCAACGGAUAAAAGGUACUCCGGGGAUAACAGGCUGAUACCGCCCAAGAGUUCAUAUCGACGGCGGUGUUUGGCACCUCGAUGUCGGCUCAUCACAUCCUGGGGCUGAAGUAGGUCCCAAGGGUAUGGCUGUUCGCCAUUUAAAGUGGUACGCGAGCUGGGUUUAGAACGUCGUGAGACAGUUCGGUCCCUAUCUGCCGUGGGCGCUGGAGAACUGAGGGGGGCUGCUCCUAGUACGAGAGGACCGGAGUGGACGCAUCACUGGUGUUCGGGUUGUCAUGCCAAUGGCACUGCCCGGUAGCUAAAUGCGGAAGAGAUAAGUGCUGAAAGCAUCUAAGCACGAAACUUGCCCCGAGAUGAGUUCUCCCUGACUCCUUGAGAGUCCUGAAGGAACGUUGAAGACGACGACGUUGAUAGGCCGGGUGUGUAAGCGCAGCGAUGCGUUGAGCUAACCGGUACUAAUGAACCGUGAGGCUUAACCUUACAACGCCG
rnacentral:rRNA from 1 species